UACGAAGGGUGCAAACGUUGCUCGGAAUCAUUGGGCGUAAAGCGCACGUAGGCGGCGCAGUAAGUCGGACGUGAAAUCCCUCGGCUCAACCGAGGACGUGCAUCCGAAACUACUGUGCUCGAGUAUGGAAGAGGGUCGCGGAAUUCUCGGUGUAGAGGUGAAAUUCGUAGAUAUCGGGAGGAACACCAGUGGCGAAGGCGGCGACCUGGGCCAAUACUGACGCUGAGACGCGAAAGCGUGGGGAGCGAACAGG
rnacentral:rRNA from 1 species